rnacentral:rRNA from 1 species
GAGUUUGAUCCUGGCUCAGAACGAACGUUGGCGGCAGGCCUAACACAUGCAAGUCGAACGAGAAGCCACCUUCGGGUGGUGGAAAGUGGCGCACGGGUGAGUAAUACAUGGAAAUCUGCCUUACACUGGGGGAUAACGCCUGGAAACAGACGCUAAUACCGCAUACCCCAUAUUGGGAAAGCUCCGGCGGUGUAAGAUGAGUCCAUGUCUGAUUAGCUAGUUGGUGGGGUAAAAGCCUACCUAGGCGACGAUCAGUAGCUGGUUUGAGAGGAUGAUCAGCCACACUGGAACUGAGACACGGUCCAGACUCCUACGGGAGGCAGCAGUGGGGAAUAUUGGACAAUGGGCGCAAGCCUGAUCCAGCCAUGCCGCAUGAGUGAUGACGGUCUUCGGAUUGUAAAGCUCUUUCAUCAGGGAAGAAUUAAUGACGGUACCUGAAGAAGAAGUCCCGGCUAACUCCGUGCCAGCAGCCGCGGUAA